UAUGUCACACUGCCGAGAAAAGCUUCUAGUGAGUAUUUAACUGCCCGUACCGCAAACCGACACAGGUAGUCGAGGAGAGAAUCCUAAGGUGUGCGAGUGAACUCUCGUUAAGGAACUCGGCAAAAUGACCCCGUAACUUCGGGAGAAGGGGUGCUGUACGAAAGUACAGCCGCAGUGAAUAGGCCCAGGCGACUGUUUAUCAAAAACACAGGUUUCUGCAAAAUCGUAAGAUGAAGUAUAGGGGCUGACGCCUGCCCGGUGCUGGAAGGUUAAAAGGAUGGGUUAGCUUCGGCGAAGCUCAGAAUUGAAGCCCCAGUAAACGGCGGCCGUAACAAUAACGGUCCUAAGGUAGCGAAAUUCCUUGUCGGGUAAGUUCCGACCCGCACGAAAGGCGUAACGAUCUGGGCACUGUCUCAACGAGAGACUUGGUGAAAUUGAAGUACCUGUGAAGAUGCAGGUUACCCGCGACAGGACGGAAAGACCCCAUGGAGCUUUACUGUAGCUUGAUAUUGAGUGUUUGUACAGCUUGUACAGGAUAGGUAGGAGCCGUAGAUACCGGAACGCUAGUUUCGGUGGAGGCGUUGGUGGGAUACUACCCUCGCUGUAUGACCACUCUAACCCGCAUCACUAAUCGUGAUGGGAGACAGUGUCAGGUGGGCAGUUUGACUGGGGCGGUCGCCUCCUAAAAAGUAACGGAGGCGCCCAAAGGUUCCCUCAGAAUGGUUGGAAAUCAUUCGCAGAGUGUAAAGGCACAAGGGAGCUUGACUGCGAGACAGACAGGUCGAGCAGGGACGAAAGUCGGGCUUAGUGAUCCGGUGGUUCCGUAUGGAAGGGCCGUCGCUCAACGGAUAAAAGCUACCCUGGGGAUAACAGGCUUAUCUCCCCCAAGAGUCCACAUCGACGGGGAGGUUUGGCACCUCGAUGUCGGCUCAUCGCAUCCUGGGGCUGUAGUCGGUCCCAAGGGUUGGGCUGUUCGCCCAUUAAAGCGGUACGCGAGCUGGGUUCAGAACGUCGUGAGACAGUUCGGUCCCUAUCCGUCGCGGGCGCAGGAAAUUUGAGAGGAGCUGUCCUUAGUACGAGAGGACCGGGAUGGACAUACCGCUGGUGUACCAGUUGUUCCGCCAGGAGCAUCGCUGGGUAGCUACGUAUGGAUGUGAUAAACGCUGAAAGCAUCUAAGUGUGAAACUCGCCUCAAGAUGAGAUUUCCCAUCUCCUUCGGGAGAGUAAGACCCCUCAAAGAUGAUGAGGUAGAUAGGAUGGAAGUGGAAGUGCAGUGAUGCAUGGAGCGGACCAUUACUAAUCGGUC
rnacentral:rRNA from 1 species